AAAAAGGGUGCUCGUCUUUGCACAAGACACAAUUCUUAAAACAGAGUUUUACUUUUAAAACUCUGCGUGCAGACGCAUUGCAGCAUUACUAUUCAAUUUAAAGCAUUAGCAGAAACAUUCGAUUAUUUUCGAUGUUUUUUUAUUGUUAAUGUGAAUAGUUCAAAUGCUCCAGUGGGGUAUGGCUUUGCAUAUCCAGUGCAUAAUUUUUGUAAAAAUGGGAAUAAGGGCUG
rnacentral:snRNA from 1 species